rnacentral:lncRNA from 1 species
CAUAGAUCUCCAAAAAAAAACCUUUCUCCCCUGAUUUUUGCUUCUGCUUUUUCCCUCCCCGCUUUCCUCCCACUAGUCGCUUAAAUCAAACAAAGCUACAUAAAUCGAAGAGGAAGGCAAAGGAGGAGGAUGCGUCCAUCAGAAUCUCCUAGGUCUUCCCCUCCUCUAAUCUUGUCGACCUUGUUCACUCCCUCUCCCACCUCUUCGGCCUCGAUUUUCUGCUCUACACCCGCCAAAAUCUCAAUAAUCCCACUAUCCGUAAUCCUAACCUAUUUCUUGAUGAUGGAUUUCGCUUUUGGGAGUCGGGGACAACACAGGCGGCGAUGCCAACAAGUUUUCAGUGGAGGCCAUGGAACCUAGCGAAGUCGAAAUAAAGGAAGGC